AUUGAACGCUGGCGGCAGGCUUAACACAUGCAAGUCGAGCGGAGAUGAGGUGCUUGCACCUUAUCUUAGCGGCGGACGGGUGAGUAAUGCUUAGGAAUCCGCCUAUUAGUGGGGGACAACAUUCCGAAAGGAAUGCUAAUACCGCAUACGUCCUACGGGAGAAAGCAGGGGAUCUUCGGACCUUGCGCUAAUAGAUGAGCCUAAGUCGGAUUAGCUAGUUGGUGGGGUAAAGGCCUACCAAGGCGACGAUCUGUAGCGGGUCUGAGAGGAUGAUCCGCCACACUGGGACUGAAACACGGCCCAGACUCCUACGGGAGGCAGCAGUGGGGAAUAUUGGACAAUGGGGGGAACCCUGAUCCAGCCAUGCCGCGUGUGUGAAGAAGGCCUUAUGGUUGUAAAGCACUUUAAGCGAGGAGGAGGCUACUGAGACUAAUACUCUUGGAUAGUGGACGUUACUCGCAGAAUAAGCACCGGCUAACUCUGUGCCAGCCGCCGCCGUAAUAC
rnacentral:rRNA from 1 species